CGCACUAGGUGAAGUGGGGAUCUUCGGACCUCAUGCUCAUGGAGUGGCCGAUAUCUGAUUAGCUAGUUGGUGAGGUAAAGGCUCACCAAGGCGACGAUCAGUAGCUGGUUUGAGAGAACGACCAGCCACACUGGAACUGAGACACGGUCCAGACUCCUACGGGAGGCAGCAGUGGGAAUUUUGGACAAUGGGCGCAAGCCUGAUCCAGCAAUGCCGCGUGAGUGAAGAAGGCCUUCGGGUUGUAAAGCUCUUUUGUCAGGGAAGAAACGGUGUUUCCUAAUACGGAAUGCUAAUGACGGUACCUGAAGAAUAAGCACCGGCUAACUACGUG
rnacentral:rRNA from 1 species